GUCGAGAAUUUUUCACAAUGGGCGAAAGCCUGAUGGAGCGACGCCGCGUGGGGGAUGAAUGGCUUCGGCCCGUAAACCCCUGUCAUUUGCGACUAAACUCUGGAGUUUAAUAGACUCCAGACUGAAAGUAGCAGAAGAGGAAGGGACGGCUAACUCUGUGCCAGCAGCCGCGGUAAUACAGAGGUCCCAAGCGUUGUUCGGAUUUACUGGGCGUAAAGGGUGCGUAGGUGGUAGGGUAAGUUCUAGGUGAAAGCUUCGGGCUCAACCCGAAAAUUGCCUCGAAUACUAUUCUGCUAGAGGGUCGGAAGGGAGACUGGAAUUCUCGGUGUAGCAGUGAAAUGCGUAGAUAUCGAGAGGAACACCUGUGGCGAAGGCGAGUCUCUGGACGAUUCCUGACACUGAGGCACGAAAGCUAGGGGAGCAAACGGGAUUAGAUACCCGAGUAGUCC
rnacentral:rRNA from 1 species